rnacentral:rRNA from 1 species
UGGGGAAUUUUGGACAAUGGGCGCAAGCCUGAUCCAGCCAUGCCGCGUGUGGGAAGAAGGCCUUCGGGUUGUAAACCACUUUUGUCAGGGAAGAAACGGCUCUUACUAAUAUUAGGAGCUAAUGACGGUACCUGAAGAAUAAGCACCGGCUAACUACGUGCCAGCAGCCGCGGUAAUACGUAGGGUGCAAGCGUUAAUCGGAAUUACUGGGCGUAAAGCGUGCGCAGGCGGCUUUGCAAGACAGAUGUGAAAUCCCCGGGCUCAACCUGGGAACUGCAUUUGUGACUGCAAGGCUAGAGUACGGUAGAGGGGGAUGGAAUUCCGCGUGUAGCAGUGAAAUGCGUAGAUAUGCGGAGGAACACCGAUGGCGAAGGCAAUCCCCUGGACCUGUACUGACGCUCAUGCACGAAAGCGUGGGGAGCAAACAGGAUUAGAUACCCACGUAGUCCCUGAGCGGGCUGGCAAGGCGCAU